CGGUAAUUCCAGCUCCAAUAGCGUAUAUUAAAGUUGUUGCAGUUAAAAAGCUCGUAGUUGGAUGUCUGGGGGGGGUGGCCGGUCCGCUCGGGGAUUCCGGGUGUGCACUCGCGCCGCGCGCCCCCAUGUUUGCGGAGAACGGGUCUGGCAUUAAGUUGUUGGCCCCGGGAUCCGCAUCGUUUACUGUGAAAAAAUUAGAGUGUUCAAAGCAGGCGGCACUGCUUGGAUACAUUAGCAUGGAAUAAUGAGAUAGGACUUUGGUGCUAUUUUGUUGGUUUGCGCAUCAGGGUAAUGAUUAAUAGGGCCAGUCGUGGGCAUUCAUAUUUCGGAGCUAGAGGUGAAAUUCUUGGAUUUCCGGAAGAUGAACCACUGCGAAAGCAUUUGCCAAGGAUGUUUUCAUUAAUCAAGAACGAAAGUUAGGGGAUCGAAGAGGAUUAGAUACCCUCGUAGUCUUAACCAUAAACUAUGCCGACUAGGGAUUGGCGGGGCACGUGCUGAUGACCCCGUCAGCACCUUAUGAGAAAUCAAAGUCUUUGGGUUCCGGGGGGAGUAUGGUCGCAAGGCUGAAACUUAAAGGAAUUGACGGAAGGGCACCACCAGGAGUGGAGCCUGCGGCUUAAUUUGACUCAACACGGGGAAACUUACCAGGUCCAGACAUAGUAAGGAUUGACAGAUUGAGAGCUCUUUCUUGAUUCUAUGGGGUGGUGGUGCAUGUCCGUUCUUAGGGGGUGGAGUGAUUUGUCUGGUUAAUUCCGUUAACGAACGAGACCUCCGCCUGCUAACUAGUCACGCGAUGGACUCUCAUCGCGGGUGACUUAUGAGAGGGGCGAUGGGUGUUCAGCCCAUGGAAGUGCGAGGCAAUAUCAGGUAUGUGAUGCCAUUAGAUGGUCUGGGCCCCACGCGCGCUACAGAGAUGAGUUCAAUGAGUUCUGCCCUUGACCGAAAGGCCCGGGUAAUCUCGCAACUCUCAUCGUGGUGGGGAUUGAUUAUUGUAAUUUCUUAUCAUCAACGAGGAAUUCAUAGUAAACUCAUGUCAUCACAUUGCAUUGAUUACGUCCCUGCCCUCAGUACACACCAACCAAGGGUGAAUC
rnacentral:rRNA from 1 species